rnacentral:rRNA from 1 species
UAGGGAAUCUUCCACAAUGGACGAAAGUCUGAUGGAGCAACGCCGCGUGAGUGAAGAAAGGGUUUCGGGCUCGUAAAGCUCUGUUGGUAGUGAAGAAAGAUAGAGGUAGUAACUGGCCUUUAUUUGACGGUAAUUACUUAGAAAGUCACGGCUAACUACGUGCC